rnacentral:rRNA from 1 species
GAUGAACGCUGGCGGCGUGCCUAAUACAUGCAAGUCGAGCGAAUGGAUUAAGAGCUUGCUCUUAUGAAGUUAGCGGCGGACGGGUGAGUAACACGUGGGUAACCUGCCCAUAAGACUGGGGUAACUCCGGGAAACCGGGGCUAAUACCGGAUAACAUUUUGAACCGCAUGGUUCGAAAUUGAAAGGCGGCUUCGGCUGUCACUUAUGGAUGGACCCGCGUCGCAUUAGCUAGUUGGGGAGGUAACGGCUCACCAAGGCAACGAGGCGUAGCCGACCUGAGAGGGUGAUCGGCCACACUGGGACUGAGACACGGCCCAGACUCCUACGGGAGGCAGGAGUAGGGAAUCUUCCGCAAUGGACGAAAGUCUGACGGAGCAACGCCGCGUGAGUGAUGAAGGCUUUCGGGUCGUAAAACUCUGUUGUUAGGGAAGAACAAGUGCUAGUUGAAUAAGCUGGCACCUUGACGGUACCUAACCAGAAAGCCACGGCUAACUACGUGCCAGCCGCCGCAGUAA